rnacentral:lncRNA from 1 species
AUGAAUGUCUGUUGUUUAAGCCACCCCAUGUAUGGUGUUUUGUUGAGGCAGCCUGAACUAGGAGAGCUCCUCUUCCUAGUACCAGAGACUCUUGCCCAAAUUCCCAGAGUUUACAAGCAGAACUUAAAUUCUAGCUUUAGAAAUCCAGACCAAUGUUGGGAACUUCCACGAGUACUAACACAAGCCAGCGGUAGCCUCAAGCCUCUGAAAAGUGCCUUUUGCUUUCCAAGAUUAGAAUCAAGACCCCGGAGACUGUGCCUUUCAAUUCUUCUUUCUGAGAACUCAUUCUAAUUGCUACAAGUCCACUUCCUAUAAACAGAUUAGUAUCCUGAUUGUGAUGUUUACACCAACUUAAUGAAGUUUUCAUCAUUGUAUUGAAAGUGGUUUAACAACAGCUAUCCUGAGCACUGGCAGAAACCUCCGGAAUGUCCAGGACUGAACUGCAAAUCCAAGACUUUGUUUGCGACAGUUCUCUAUAAAAUGUCAAAGAAGCACACCAGCUACUUGCUUCAAGUUCUAUUUUUGAAAGCAAAAUAGAGCAGCUUUAUAAAUUCCUAAAAAGGGGGAAAAAGGAACUGAAAGAGCCAAUAGAAUGACAUUUUUUGGCUUUCCUCAAAAAUAAUGGGCUUUGAUAGAAAUGUCCAGCCGUCGUUUUUGAUGGCGAGGACACAGACAAAAAACAGUUUAAAAUGGGAACAAGGUUGGUUUACAAUAUUAUGUGAGUUUUAGAUGUGCAACACAGAGCAUGACUUAUAUUUGUAACUGGAGUUUGUGCCUCUUAAUCACCUAUUUUGUCUCUGGCUCCGUGGCAACCUCUAGGUUGUUUUCUGUACCUAUUACUCUGCUCUGUUUUGUUGUGUUUGUAUAUUUAUUUUCGGUCCUUUUUUUUUUAAAACUUAAUUCCACAUAUGAGUGAAAUCAUAUGGUAUUUGUUUUCCUCUGAUUUAUUUCAUUUAGCAUAAUACCUUCUAGGUUCAUCCAUGUUGUGGAAAAUGGCAAGAUUUUUUUUAGCUAAGUAUAGUCUAUUAAAAAUAUAUAUUUAUAUCAUAU